ensembl:piRNA 21ur-9365 ncRNA
UUUUUUUUCUUGCCUUUGAAA